rnacentral:rRNA from 1 species
CACUAUGCACAGCCCUAAACUUUGAUAGAAACAUUACAUCCACUAUCCGCCAGGGUACUACGAGCUCUAGCUUAAAAUCCAAAGGACUUGGCGGUGCUUUAGACCCACCUAGAGGAGCCUGUUCUAGAACCGACAACCCCCGUUCAACCUCACCCUCCCUUGUCCAUUCCGCCUAUAUACCGCCGUCGUCAGCUUACCCCAUGAAGGAUUCAUAGUAAGCAAAACCAGUAUAACUUAAAACGCCAGGUCGAGGUGUAGCGCAUGAGAGGGGAAGAAAUGGGCUACAUUCCCUAAACCAGGGCAUACGGAAAAUACAAUGAAAUACGUAUUAGAAGGAGGAUUUAGCAGUAAGCAGAAAACAGAGUGUUCUACUGAAACUGGCCCUGAAGCGCGCACACACCGCCCGUCACUCUCCCCAAACAAAUAAUUUAAAUAAUUAAUAAGCCAAACAAACAAAGGGGAGGCAAGUCGUAA